UAGAUGGAGAACAGGUGUUCAAAGAGCCAG
rnacentral:piRNA from 1 species